rnacentral:tRNA from 1 species
CAUAUAGCUCAGUCGGUAGAGUACUUCCUUGGUAAGGAAGAGGUCACCGGUUCAAAUCCGGUUAUG